GAAUCGUAUGCAGCCCGCCUUCGGGGUGACAUGCCCGGCCAAUUAGGCAUGGGGGAAUCAUAUCAUCAUGCACUCGUCAUAAACUUAUCAUCACCGUACCUUUAUCAUAAAACACGCAUUAGAACUUAAAGGCAACAAUAGUUAUGUCGGGGUGACAUGAGGUCGUGAACCCUCGAUUGCAUUAUGGAGUGAUCAUAUUCAUCAUAUCUCACCUUGAAGGGACUAACAUUUAAGGUGAGUUUACACAGGGAACAACAUCAUCAUCAUUAUCAUGCUCGUGUCGUAUCUCUUUUCCUUAUCUUAUACAUGUAUAACUCUCUAUAGACAUAGGCUCAUAAUUUCCAUUAUAUAAGAAAAUCAUGGAAAAAUAGGAAGAUUCAUGUCAUAGGAGUCAUGCCUUAGAAGUAAAGGACUAGCCUUACAUACUUUUUCGUUUAGCUCUUCUAUCGCUUGAUCGUUCUCCUUCAACGCUCGCGUUUCUACCUUCAAAAGUGUUCGUAUUAACAUUAACUAAUCGAUUAUAUGAACGUGCUUACUAAGGCUAGAGAAAAUUGAGCAAAGAUUUCCUUUGUUUAUACUACUUUCCUCAUGUCAUAUAUCAACUCCAAUAACAUUCACAACAUUAUAACAAUCUUCAUUCAUCCACAUUAUCCACAUUUCAUACUUUCACUUCAAUUCAUCCAUAAUCAUGGUCGUAAUAUACUAUUAUAUUUACUCACAAUAAAAUGCUUAUCCGAUGUCCUUUAUAUCAUUUAUAACAUAAUUAUAAUCACAACAUAUCAAGAACCAUGACUCAUCCCAAGCUACUACUCAAAAUCUCAUUAUUCUCAUCUUUCUGACCCAUUUUCUAUCUCCUUUCAUAACCUAAGUCUUUCAACCUCUCAAUACCUUAAACAAUAUGGAAUGAUCAUAAAACUUACCUUAGAUAGUGUGGGAAUGAUCCUUGAGUGUAAAUACUUCACUUGAGCCAAAACCCCAGUUCACUUCUAAUGGAAUUUCUUGACUUGGAUGAACUCUAAUGAGUUUCUUACACUUGGUUUUCUUGGUUUGAUGAAGUUGAGCAUAAAUUUCUCUUGAGUUCUUGUGGAAGAAGUGUGGAGAGUUUUCUAGAGUGCUCUUGAAGUGAGGAAUGAGAAAAUGAAAUAAAUUGAAUAAGGUUGGUCCCUUAUAUUAAUUUUAGAAGCAGUCUCGACUCAAUUCUAUGGACCAACAUACGGUCCGUAUCUUUUAUAUGCGGUUGUAUGUCUGGUCCAGUGGAAGUCCCAUCCUGGGCAGAACAUAUAGCCUAACAUACGGCCAGUAUGUUUUAUACGACCAGUAUGUUGGGCCGUAUAAUGCCUAGCUUUUCCGAACUCUUUCUCGUCGACUCGUUUGAUCUCCAAUCCAUAUGGAACCCUCUUAACACUUGUUUAACACCUCAUUAACAAUUUAAGGGACAUUAUAACUCUCCUCCAAAACAUCAUUAAGUCAUCAUUAAUUCGGUACUCAUAAAUCUUAUCCGACACAUAAUGUAUACCUUGCUUUUCUUGGCAACUUUCUUCUCUUACCUCAAAUGUCUUUGAGAUCUAAAUUAGGAUCAUCAAAUGCUAUUUCUUACUUAAUGAAACAUCGCACACUUCGUGCCCUUCGUUAGUCUAUUCAGUGUGCAUCAACGGGAAAUUUUCCGAGGUGUAACAGACUGUGUGCUAUCUAAUACCCCUAUGAGACCCAUGAUGAUCAUUUGAGAAAAAACCAUCUUGUAUGCCACCCGUGGCCAGUUAUUCCUUUGUACUUAGGUUUCCACUAAUGUUAGUCUAUAAAUUUUGCCCCAAUAAUCAUGUUGCUUAGUUUGUGUGGAGAUGGAAUCUUCCGCUUAUAUACUUAUGUAAGAAAGCCUAAAGAAUGAUACCAUAUUUAUACCUUAUUUGCCUUAUAAAAUUCUGUGUAUAUGAUUUAGUGCAUCGUAUUUUGCUGUAUCUAGAAAUGAUUCCCUUCAAGUAGUUUUUAACCUUUAUUAAUGCCUCAUAUGCAUGUUCAGCUGGUUUGGCUGUACUGUCUAUCUUAGCAUUGAAGUAUGACUGCCCUAUGUGUUCUUAAUCCUGUUUAAGCAUGAAACUAGACAAUAGUGGGAUCAAUGAGGUCAUUUGAUAUUAGAAAGAUAGCUUCUUUUCUAUGUAGCCUGUUUGCUCCCAUACCUUUGAGAUUUCUUUGACCCUUUUUAUAUAUUGGUAUGGUUGAUAGCCUGCUGUCUCAUUUGUUGUAUGAGUAUGAAUAGCAUGUUAAAAAAAUUGUUUAAACAUAGCUGAUACGCUUGAAAAAGAAUAAGGUUGGAGUCUUCAUGUUAGUAUUGCCAUAAAAUGUGCCAAUGGUGCAUAUCUGUGUGAGUAGAGGUUCAGUCCUGUCUCUAAGGUUUAAAUCAUGGUAACUUGAAGCAUGCUACAUGUUUAGGAUAGGGUACUUUAUGUCUAAGCUUAAGUCUUUUGCUUAAUUCUUUCCCCUCUCAUUUUAUUUGAGUAACCAGCCUAUAUGCCUUUGUGAACUUGAAGGUUUGUUUGGGAGUAUUUGGUUAGCUCUACAUGAUUCUCUUUCCUUUUGCCCUUCUUUGUCAUGUUCAUAGCACUGCCAAGUGCUAGACAAGAUUAUUGAAAUGGCUUACUAGUAUAUCUGAAUAUGGACCUUUGCCUAGACUAGAAAUUGUUGGUUCAUAUAAAUGGCUAUGUAUGGCUAAUUCUUGAACCUGCGCAUCCUAAUUUAUUUGUAUAGUAUGAAACAAAUUGGGUAGUUGACUCGUUUUUCCUCUGCGCUAUCUUGUGAUUUGUUCCUGAUCCAAGCAUAUUGAAUCUUGCCUAUUUCUCCCUUCCUGUCAACACCAAUAGUGAAUGACCUUGAACCAUUUGUGUUAAUUGAAAUCUGAACAUGUUGUUAAAUCCUGGUAUAAAACUGAGCAUGUUUGACUUGUUAGGAUUAAAAAGAUACUAAAUUUUUCUUCCUUGUCUUUCCAAAGAUCACGUUUAUUUUUCUGCCAAUUCUUGUUUUCUUUUGGGAUUUUGUUUGCUAUAAAAGAAGGAUAUAUAUUAAUAUACUACAUGUAUACAGCCUUAGUGUGUUUAUACUUGUAUAUUAAGGAUACUCGUAGCAUAUCUCACUUUGAGAGUUUUCUUGAAUAGGAAUACUAUUUACUAAAUAUUGGGCUUUUAACUCCUGUAAAUUAUCUUUGAUCGUCAUGUUUGGCCUUCCCAUUACAUUCAUGUACUUAUGAGCUUUGGGCUUAUUCCCAGAACUUUUUGUGUUUCAACUGGGUCUGUUUCUCCAAUGUUUUGUGUAAUUUGGAUACACACGUAUGAACUGAAAAUGUCCUAUACCUGUGUUUAUAUUUUAUUAUCAUGUAUACAUUCUUAGUUCAUAUCAAAUGAGUUUAUAAGUCUUGGUGCUCUCUAACUAUAAUUUUCCCUUUUCCCCUUUGUGUUUGCAUGGGAUCAAUUUCGGGGGCUACUUUGGCCAGUCUCUCCAUUCAAAUGUUGUUAGGCUAGAGUCCCAACUUUCUCUUUUCUUGAUCAUGUCAGAACCAAAGAUGAAAAUAAGAAGGCCCGACCCUGGUGAAAAUGGUCAAUUGGUGGGCUUAUGUGUGGUUAACGUCGACCAGGUAGCCGAUACUUGAUCAUUCCGGCUUUCUUUUGUCUAGUUCAGUCGAGAUGAGCCAUCAUUAGAUCAUGGCGGCCUCUUCUUCUUUAGUUGACUUAGUAGUAUUCCGAGCUACGUCUCGUGCUUCUGUAUUCAGACUAGUAGUUUCAUAGCUUAGACAUUCUAUGGGGUUUAUGGGCAGACUCAGUAUUUGUAUUUCACUUCCGCACUUUUUGUUAUAUUAUUAGAUAUUGAGUAUUA